UACGUAGGGUCCGAGCGUUGUCCGGAUUGACUGGGCGUAAAGCGCACGCAGGCGGUUGCGCGCGUGGGGUGUGAAAUCUGGCCGCUUAACGGCCAGGCGCCAUCCCAUACGGCGCGACUGGAGUGAUGCAGAGGUCGAUGGAAUUGCCGGUGUAGUGGUGAAAUGCGUAGAGAUCGGCAGGAACACCCAGGGGGAAACCAGUCGACUGGGCAUCUACUGACGCUGAGGUGCGAGAGCGUGGGGAGCGAACCGG
rnacentral:rRNA from 1 species